AUCAUGGAGUGCUUGGAGCGGCUCUUUCUCUCCCCUCGAGGAGUACUGGACAUAUGGCGAGGAAAGGUUGAAGGUACCCAGAUGGAAUAUACGGUGCUGGUCUUGCACUCUGAGAUUGGCCUCAUCGUGGCAAGAGAGGAGGCCAUGAAUUGACAUGUCGGAACAGGAGUGAGAAUGGAAAUUACAAUGCUUAACCAUCGUUUCCCAUUUUCUGUGGCCUCCGCCGGUCGUGGUGGACCAUGGGUCCUGUGCCUGUGUUAGUCACUGGUUUGUCGAGCAGCGUCGACUGUGGCUAUUGAGGUCGAUCCUGGAACGCAGGCUCUACCACAAAUGCUGCAUGUGUCGGGUGUUGUGGAACUGGUGUCUGCUGUGCUCUCUGUUUAGCCCUCCGCUCCUCGAACUGACUCAGGAUCACUCUUUCGCCUUGCUCUCGGUGUUGCUGAAGAGUACCUCGCCAUUUGUUGCGGUCUACUGUCUAAGUAAUAAUCAGGCUACUGAAGCUCCUCCCUGACGGUAGGAAUGAGAAGAGGGCAGUUCCUGGAUGGUCUUCCUGAGGCACGAUGUGUUAGGAAACAUAGAAAACA